UUAAAUUGACGAUUUUGACCAUGGCUCAGCUUGAACUCUUGCUGGAGGCCUUAUACAUGCAAGUCGCACGGUCACAGUAAGCAGCUUGCUUCUCUGCUAACGAUUUGCGCGCGGGUUAGUAAUUUCUGUUAACCUUCCCGACGGCGGGGAAUAACUACUGGAAACGGGCGCUACUACCGCAUAACGUCGCAAGACCAAAGAGGGGGACCUUCCGGCCUCUUGCCAUCCGAUUUGCCC
rnacentral:rRNA from 1 species